CCUACGGGGGGCAGCAGUGGGGGAUAUUGGACAAUGGGGGGAACCCUGAUCCAGCGACGCCGCGUGAGUGAAGAAGUAUUUCGGUAUGUAAAGCUCUGUCAGCAGGGAAGAAAGCAAUGACGGUACCUGACCAAGAAGCCCCGGCUAACUACGUGCCAGCAGCCGCGGUAAUACGUAGGGGGCAAGCGUUAUCCGGAAUUACUGGGGGUAAAGGGGGCGUAGACGGCUGUGCAAGUCUGGAGUGAAAGGCGGGGGCCCAACCCCCGGACUGCUUUGGAAACCGUAUGGCUGGAGUGCAGGGGAGGUAAGCGGAAUUCCUAGUGUAGCGGUGAAAUGCGUAGAUAUUAGGAGGAACACCAGUGGCGAAGGCGGCUUACUGGACUGUAACUGACGUUGAGGCUCGAAAGCGUGGGGAGCAAACAGGAUUAGAUACCCUUGUAGUC
rnacentral:rRNA from 1 species